GGGAAGAGAAGGGGAGAGCAGCCCAGAGCCCAGACCUGUUUCCCUGAGCCCCUGCCAUCUCAAGCAGCCCAGCCUGCAGCUCCAGAAGAGCAGGACCUUUAGGUCUGGGGUCCCUGGUUUUCUGUCCAUAUCCCACAGCCUGAGGACUACCUCACUCAGGUGCAGAAAGAGGAUUUGAGGAGAUGUCCCAGGGACACAUGUGUGCCUAGGCCUUGCUACAGGGUUAGGAUACAGUAGGAGGAUACAGUAGGAGCAGCAGGACAAGAAAGAGCAGUGGGGGUGACAUGAGGGAGGCCUGGGCCUCAGGAUUAAAUUCCACCACUCAGGAGGCUGAGGCAGGAGGAUGCUGAGUUUGAGCAGGGAACACAGGCUAUGGAACCGAGGAAGGCCCAAACUCGUGUGCCCCCAGAACAGCCCCUGGCCACCAGCCAAGGUGCAGAGCCCAUGCCAACUCCGAAGCUGAGCCCACCGCCCUCUGUGAAGGAUGUGCUUCUGGGAUCUAAGGCCUGGUUCUUCUGAAGCUCUUUGCAGAUGAGAAGGUGGAAAUUCCACAGUAACAGUGGAGGAGGAAAAGCCGUGCACUCAAGCUGACUGUGUGGCUGUUGACGUCUCCGUGACUCGAACCUGUCAUCUGUCCCCAUGAACGCACUGGUUUGUAACUGAGACUCAGAGAGAGGGCCUGAGUACAGCUUGAGAAGAGGAUGGACUGGUGGGCAUUUGAUCAAGGCUGGAUGGAAAGAAACUGAGAGCCAACUGGGAUGGGGGGAGUGGGCACAGAGGGACUUGUGUCUGGCUGUGGCUUAAUAAAAAGGGA